GAUGAACGCUAGCUACAGGCUUAACACAUGCAAGUCGAGGGGAAACGACAUCGAAAGCUUGCUUUUGAUGGGCGUCGACCGGCGCACGGGUGAGUAACGCGUAUCCAACCUGCCCAUCACUUGGGAAUAACCUUGCGAAAGUAAGACUAAUACCCAAUGACAUCCCACGAAGACAUCUGAAUGGGAUUAAAGAUUUAUCGGUGAUGGAUGGGGAUGCGUCUGAUUAGCUUGUUGGCGGGGUAACGGCCCACCAAGGCAACGAUCAGUAGGGGUUCUGAGAGGAAGGUCCCCCACAUUGGAACUGAGACACGGUCCAAACUCCUACGGGAGGCAGCAGUGAGGAAUAUUGGUCAAUGGGCGAGAGCCUGAACCAGCCAAGUCGCGUGCAGGAUGACGGCCCUAUGGGUUGUAAACUGCUUUUAUAAGGGAAUAAAGUGGGUCUCGUGAGACUUUUUGCAUGUACCUUAUGAAUAAGGACCGGCUAAUUCCGUG
rnacentral:rRNA from 1 species